rnacentral:tRNA from 1 species
CGAAAUUGGUAGACGCUACGGACUUAAAGAAAUUUAUAGUAAAAGGAAAAUCCGUCGACUUUAUAAAUCGUGAGG